GUUGUAGUCAUCAUCGUUGUAGUCGCCAUAUUAUUUGUUAGAAGAAGACGUCACACGUCCGGAGCCACGCAGGAUGACAUACUACACACAGUGUCAUCAGAAACGUCACCAGCUGAUGACCACACACAGUACCAUGAACCAGUGACACAAGGUGUGUACGUCCAUGUGCUGAAAGACAAG